rnacentral:ncRNA from 1 species
ACAGUUUUGGUCCUAGACUUACCGUUAUUUUUUAUCAAAAUUAUACAUGCAAGCCUCAACACACCAGUGAAAAUGCCCAAAACACCUAAAAAGAAAUAUUGGAGCAGGUAUCAGGCACGGCCCACCCAGCCCAUAACACCUUGCUUUGCCACACCCUCACGGGCUAUCAGCAGUAAUAAACAUUGGGCCAUAAGUGAAAACUUGACCCAGUUAUGAUAAUUUAGGGCUGGUUAAUUUCGUGCCAGCCACCGCGGUUAUACGAAAAGCCCAAAAUAACGACAAACGGCGUAAAAUGUGACUAGAGAUCUUAGUUCCAAAAAUAUUAAAACCCAUAAACUAGUUGUAAAAUACUCAGAUAAUGAAGAAAACCAACACAAAUAUUUUUGCUAUUAUUUACUUGACCACACGAAAGCUUAGAAACAAACUAGGAUUAGAUACCCUACUAUGCUAAGCCCUAAACAUUGAUUAGUUACGAUACAACACUCUCCGCCAGAGAACUACAAGUGAAAAACUUGAAACUCAAAGGACUUGACGGUAUCCCAUAUCGACCUAGAGGAGCCUGUCCUAUAAUCGAUACCCCUCGCUCCACCCAACCCUAACUAGCACAACAACAGCCUAUAUACCGCCGUCGAUCAGCCUACCCUAUGAAGGUCUAACAGUAGACACAACAGCCCAACCGCUAAUACGUCAGGUCAAGGUGUAGCAAAUGUUAGGGAAGAGAUUGGCUACAUUUUUUAUUAUAAAAAACACGAAAAGUAUUAUGAAACAAUACAUGAAGGUGAAUUUAGUAGUAAGAUAGACGAGAGUGUCUAUCUUAACAACGCUCUGGGAUGCGUACACACCGCCCGUCACCCUCCUCAAACUUGUACAAAGUCAUUUAUAAAACAUAAAACAACCCUUAGAGGAGGUAAGUCGUAACAUGGUGAGCGUACCGGAAGGUGUGCUUGGAAUUAC